rnacentral:rRNA from 1 species
GAUGAACGCUAGCGGCAGGCCUAAUACAUGCAAGUCGAACGGGUGGUCGCAAGACCCCUAGUGGCGCACGGGUGCGUAACGCGUAACCAACCUGCCCCGAUCUGGGGGAUAGCCCGCCGAAAGGCGGAUUAAUACCGCAUAUACCCGCAGCCUGGCAUCAGGCAACGGGGAAAGAUUUAUUGGAUCGGGAUGGGGUUGCGUGACAUUAGCUAGUUGGCGGGGUAAGGGCCCACCAAGGCGACGAUGUCUAGGGGACCUGAGAGGGUGAUCCCCCACACUGGCACUGGGAUACGGGCCAGACUCCUACGGGAGGCAGCAGUAGGGAAUAUGGGGCAAUGGGCGAGAGCCUGACCCAGCCAGGCCGCGUGCCGGAUGAAGGCCUUCUGGGUUGUAAGCGGCUUUUCUCAGGGAAGAAAAAGACCUUGCGAGGUACACUGACGGUACCUGAGGAAUAAGCACCGGCUAACUCCGUG